rnacentral:rRNA from 1 species
UACAGAGGUCCCGAGCGUUGUUCGGAUUCACUGGGCGUAAAGGGCGCGUAGGUGGCAUGGCAAGUUUGAUGUGAAAGCUCAGGGCUCAACCCUGAAAUGGCAUUGAAUACUACUGUGCUGGAGGUUUGGAGGGGGGACUGGAAUUCUUGGUGUAGCAGUGAAAUGCGUAGAUAUCAAGAGGAACACCAGUGGCGAAGGCGAGUCCCUGGACAACACCUGACACUGAGGCACGAAAGCCGGGGGAGCAAACAGG